rnacentral:rRNA from 1 species
UACGUAGGUGGCAAGCGUUGUCCGGAUUUAUUGGGUUUAAAGGGUGCGUAGGCGGCUUUGUAAGUCAGUGGUGAAAUAUGGCAGCUUAACUGUCAAGGUGCCAUUGAUACUGCAGAGCUUGAGUACAGAUGAGGUAGGCGGAAUUGACGGUGUAGCGGUGAAAUUCGUAGAUAUUGGGAAGAACACCGAUGGCGAAGGCAGCCAUCUGGACCGACACUGACGCUGAGGCGCGAAAGCGUGGGGAGCAAACAGG